rnacentral:rRNA from 1 species
GGGGAAUUUUCCGCAAUGGGCGAAAGCCUGACGGAGCAAUGCCGCGUGGAGGAAGAAGGCCUAUGGGUUGUAAUCUCCUUUUCUCAGAGAAGAAGUUCUGACGGUAUCUGAGGAAUAAGCAUCGGCUAACUCCGUGCCAGCAGCCGCGGUAAUACGGAGGAUGCAAGCGUUAUCCGGAAUCAUUGGGCGUAAAGCAUCUGUAGGUGGCUUGGUAAGUUGAUUGUUAAAUAGUAGGGCUCAACCCUAUCCCGGCAAUCAAAACUACUUGGCUUGAGUGUGGUAGGGGCAGAGGGAAUUCCCGGUGUAGCGGUGAAAUGCGUAGAUAUCGGGAAGAACACCAACGGCGAAAGCACUCUGCUGGGCCAACACUGACACUGAGAGAUGAAAGCUAGGGUAGUCAAUGGGAUUAGAUACC